AGCUCUGCAGAGAGAAGGAGCAUAUGAAGUCACUGAGGAGGGAGUACUUGCAAGGAGGGAGUGAUUGCUAUGGAGGAAGGCCAGAAAAAAAGUGGAAAACAACAACAAAAGUAGCAACAGAAAAACCAGGAAGAGGAAGCAAAAAUGGUAACGUGAUACCAUAAUGCCUUACUGGCUCUAAAGCAAGGAAAAAUUAUGAAAGCAUUCAUUUAUUCAUUUUCAGCCAAAGAAAAAAAACUAGGGCAUAAAAAAAGGAAAAAAAAACCGAACCAAACAAACCAGAAAAUAGAACAUGUGAAGAAAAAGGGCAGCAAAGGAAGAGGAAAUUAAGAGAGAGGAGAAAGAAGUGCUGGAAGUGAAGGAGUGGAUUGGGGGGAGGAGGCAGCACAAAGAGAUCUGACAUACAGGGCUUUUAGGGAUACUUACAGGCUUCAACUGAGAUCAGGGUCUUGUUGUAUGAGACAAUACAGAAACAUGCAAUAAAAGAAUUCUAGUCCCAGGAGCCUUGUAAGCUAAAUAAAGGCUGGGAGAAAGGAAAUAUUACCCCCAUUUUACAGAUGGGAAACUGAAGCUCUGACAAUCUUUCCAUACAACGCAGUGCAGUGUCAUACAGCAAUACUGAAGAGAGAGUUCUGAAAAAGCAACAAAGUCCAGAAUCUGUGCAAAAUAAAGGCUGACUUAAACCCUGUUGUACUGGCAAGCAGCCAUAGCCUGGAAUCUCCUGCAUUAGAAUACUUUUCCUCAUUUAAUUUGCUCCUCCCAGAAGACCCUGUAAAAUCCUGCUCAGGAGCCAACAGAGGGUACUCACUCAAGACCAAGCAGCAGAGAAGCACUUUGGUAUUCCCUGAAGACAUAGCAGAAACAA